rnacentral:tRNA from 1 species
CAUUGUGAAGCUAUCGCAGCAUUAACCUUUUAAGUUAAAGACAGAGAAGAAAUCUUCUCCAUAAUGA